rnacentral:rRNA from 1 species
CAGCCGCCACGGUAAUACAGAGGGUGCGAGCGUUAAUCGGAAUUACUGGGCGUAAAGGGCGCGUAGGCGGUGAGAUGUGUGUGGUGUGAAAGCCCCGGGCUUGACCUGGGAACUGCGCUUGUGACUGCACAGCUAGAGUAUGGCAGAGGGGGGUGGAAUUCCACGUGUAGCAGUGAAAUGCGUAGAGAUGUGGAGGGACACCGAUGGCGAAGGCAGCCCCCUGGGCCAAUACUGACGCUCAUGCACGAAAGCGUGGGGAGCAAACAGGAUUAGAUACCCCCGUAGUCCCUGUCUCUUAUAC